UCAGGAACACAGGCCUCGCAGGGUUCUGAUCGAGCUUGAGCAGGUCGGGCAUGGCUGCUGCGGCUGCUGCUUGACGUAGAGACCAAACUGGUUCCAGGCCUCCAUCAAAACGGAUUCGAUUCACUGCAUCGAGCGAGCUCGAGGCGUCGGGGUGGGCAUUACGUCGAACACGCCGCGUGCAAGAACCGGGAAUCGCGUCGUGCUCUGCUCACUGACCUGCACACGAGCGAGCAGCUGAGGAGGUCGACGCAGUCCAGCUGCGAGAACACCCGCGCGAUCACGUCCGCCGGCGCCCGCAGCGCCGCCGCCUCGCCUCCGCCGGCAACCAUCUCCUCCUCCUGCUGCUGCUUCCGCGGCGGCGCCAUCGCC
rnacentral:sRNA from 1 species